AAUUUGGCUCUGACCUUACGGUCAUCCUGCGCGUAGGCCUAUAUCGAUAUCAUGAUCUGUCCAAACUUCUGAACUUGACGUGCUUGACGGUGCUCCGAUGUAAUUGUAACUAUGGAUACAUGUGCAUCAUCACUGGUCACUUACUGAAUGCUGGAUGGUGAUGAGACAUCCUUCAAGAGAGUAAACCUUCUAUAGAGACAGUGAAGUGAAGCGUGGCAAAGGAGCUAAGUCAACAAACCCAUUGGAUCUCAGGAUAGCCUCUCUUCAUCAGUCAAGUCAGCAAACAGCAACUCAGCUAGAUACAAGUGCAUCAAGUACAGUAGCUCUCACGCACACUUGUCCUUCCUGUCAAAAAGGCACUGCAGAGCAGAAUGGCUUACACACAUGCCAACAAGUUUGUGUUCAACACUCCUAAGACAUACCAAUCACCAGCCAUGGGUGGGCCUGGUAAGCUACGAUCUCCAACUCCAUCCAAAUGGGAAACAAUGAAGGAAGAAUUGGGUCUAUCUGAUGAUGAUUAUCUGAAAAGUGAGAGUGAUAAUUCAGGAGAUGAGAAUGAAGUCAAUGGAUACGGUCGAGUUUCAAGGGAUGUUGUUGAAGCCUUGCAGAAAGAGCUGGAUGAAAAAGACAAGCAGAGAGAAGAGCUGAUUCUGCAAGUCAAGAAAUUCCGUGACAGUGACAAGAAAUACCGGUCGCGAUGUGAGAAGGAACAUGCUAGCAAGUGGCAGCAGAUCAAGAUCAUGAGGAAAACCCACGAGUCCCAUCUAGACGAGAAGCGACAACUCAUCCGCAACCUCCAAGACAUCAUUGAGGAGCAGGAAGGCAGGAUAUAUGACCUGGAGAGUGAACUCAAAGGUAACAACAGUCCCACCCCCAGUGCACCUAGCCUCUCUGAGCACGUGCAGAAGCUAGCCAGCUCCCUUGACCGACUGCAGACAGAGAUGGCUGGUAUCCGGGAGAAACAACUGGCUGCCGAGCACCAGCUGGUUGCCAUGGAGCAGGACCAUGACAACGAGAAGCAAGGCAUUCAAGAAGACAUGGCCCAGCUCAGAUCUGAACUGAACAAUGCACAGGGGAUGAUACAGACACUACGCAAUGGAGACGCAAUACCAUCUGGCACAGACAACGAAAAGGAAAUUGAACUUCUGAAGGCUGAACUACACAAAUAUGAAGAUGAACUUGAGAGAGCUAAAGCAAUGCAGCAGGAAGCAGCUCAAGAGCAAGCCAUGCAAGACCAGGAGGAGAUCAGGUCUCUCCAGGAGGAGGUCAAGUGGUACCGAGAGGAACUUGAGAGAGCCAAGAUGGCCCAUGAGAAGACAACUCAAGAACAGGUUAUGCGAGACGAGAGAGAGAUAGAAAUGCUGAGGGAGGAACUGCGGCGGUAUGAGGAUGAGCUGAGAAUUGCCAAGGAAUUGCAGGAAAAGACGGCAAAGGAACGAGCAGAGAUGUCCCAGAAGGACGUUGCCAUCAUCAAGAAAUUUGAGCUUGAGAAUAGCCGUCUUAAAGACAGGAUCUUGGAGCUUGAGGCAGACGUGGCCACUAAAUCUAAGAUCAUGGUAGAGACUGAGGCCAGUCACAAAAAGCAACAACACCGCCUGGAGCGAGCAAUAAAGGAACAGGCUUCUCGCCUGAAGGCGGUGGAGAUGGAGUUCUCUGACCUUAAAGCUAAUCCACAGGUGGUUGAAGUUGUCAAGACAGUAACCGUGGAAUCAGAGGAGGCCAAAGAUGCCGUGGUUGCUGCCCAAAAAACUAACAUCAGACUAAGACAGCAAGUCACAACUCUCAAGGAGUCUUGUGAGGCCACAGAGAAGCAGCUGAAGCACUCCAAGACACAUGUGCUGGCACUCCAGGAGAGGCUGCAGGAGCAGGAAUCCCAGAUGGCCAUCUUAGACAAGGAGCUUAAGGCCGUCAUGGAGCGCUCAGCGGCUGAAGUCACAGAUGCUCGUAAGCAAGGAGAGGAGAUGGCAAGAACACUCACCCAACGCUUUACCGCUGUCCAAGCCAAGUUUGCCAACAUCCGUCCUGGUCUCCUGACUGUAGCUCAAGAAUACCAACAGCUGCGGUCACUCUGCGCCCAGUUUCCCUCCAUGCUCAAGGCUGCUAUUGCUCAGGCCAAAGAAGAAAUUGGCAAAGCUCUAGCUGACAUCACAGAGCACAACAGAGAGCUAGUGCACAAGUACCACAAGGAGAUGGCCCUGCGAAAGAAGUAUCACAACGAGAUCAUAGAUCUCAAAGGGUCUAUCCGUGUUUUCUGCAGGGUCAGACCCAUUAUAAGGGAGGACGGUGCAGGAGCCCUUUCCAAAAAUGCUGUCAGCUUAGAUGUUGAUGAUGAUGCCCUUAUCUACCUGCAAAAUAAGGGCCGGUCAACGACAUUUGAGGUUGACAAGGUCUUUGCAGCAGAUUCGACGCAGGAGCAGGUAUUCCAUGAAGUUCAGCCCCUUGUGGUCUCCAGUAUUGAUGGCUACAAUGUCUGCAUCUUUGCCUAUGGACAAACAGGGUCGGGUAAAACUUACACCAUGGAGGGCCCUUCAAGCAACCCAGGAAUCAACCAGCGAGCGCUACAGCACCUCUUCCAAGAAACAGAGCAGAGGACAGAGGAAUGGGACUAUACCAUUACCGUCUCCGUAAUGGAAAUAUAUAAUGAGCAACUCAGGGAUCUUCUGGGCGAUGAUCCACAGUUCAAACUGGAGAUUAAGAUGAACCCAGACGGUAGCGGUCUGUAUGUCCCUGGUCUGUGUGAGGUGGAAGUGGACUGUGUAGACGAUGUCAAUGAGGUUUUCCGCAGAGGUAAACGCAACCGUGCUACUGCCACAACGGACAUGAACGAGCACAGUUCUCGCUCUCAUGCGCUUCUUUGUGUCAAAAUUGUGGGCUCGAACAAGACCUCAGGGAAGAGAGUCAUGGGCAAGCUGAACCUGGUAGACCUUGCAGGAUCUGAGCGAGUCAAUAAAUCAGGGUCCAGUGGAGAUACUACCAGGCUUAAGGAAGCACAGAGUAUCAAUAAAUCACUGUCCUCUCUGGGAGAUGUCAUCUUUGCACUACGCACCAAGCAGGGUCAUGUCCCAUACAGGAACUCCAAGCUGACAUAUCUGCUACAAGAAUCACUGGGUGGGGACAGUAAGACCCUGAUGGUGGUACAGAUUUCACCUGUUGCAAAGAAUGUGAGUGAGUCGCAGUGUAGCCUGUCGUUUGCUCAGAGGGUGAGGGCCGUGGAGCUUGGGGCAGCAUCAAAGCGCACUGAGACUGCUGAGGUUGCUGUCUUGAAGGAUCGCUUGGCACAGUAUGAGGACGGUCCAUCCUCUGGUUAUCACUCCUCACCAACAAGGAGCAACAGGAGCACUCCAACAAAAACCCCUCGAGGCACCCAGAGAAAAUAACUCCCUGUCACCACAUAGCUCACAACCGUCUUAACUGCAACUAGGAGUAACAAAGAUAAGUGUGUCAGCGCUCACGCCGGAAAGAUGGUAAACCUUGGGGAAAGAAUUUGUGUUUUUCUUAAGUCCAACUCAAAACAAAAUACUAUCUUGGAAUGUAAUUAUUCCUUAACUCUAAAGUGUGUAAAUGUAUUGAAUUUGAAAUUUCCUGAAUACUUUAUUGCUCAGAAUGUUUUGGGAAUAUUUAUGAAUCUUAAAAAGAACCUAGGAAUCCUGAAAAAUCAUGAAAUUAUAACAAAAAGGCUCUUAGAAUUUGACCAAGAGGAUCUGAAAAGUCUUUCUUAUACAUGUACUACAAUUGCCCUGGAAAAUUUUAUUUCGAAAAUAAUAAAAAUUGCCCAGAAAACUGUUUAUUCCUUGGAAAAAUAUCUAAAGUCAUUAUCUUAUUGCUAGCUUUUGUUGUAUGUAAUCACUGUUAAUAUAAUCUUCAAUUGUUGCCAUUGUACCUAAUGUAUUCUUGAAAAGAACAAAACAUUGUCUUGUACAAAUAUGUAGAAAAAAAUGUAAAUAUUGUUUUUAUUUCCAAGAAAUCAUGUUUGAUAUCUUUUUUUGUAUUUGCUAUUAUGUCAUUUUGCAAUGAACUGAACCCGUUUAAUUUAUUUGAAAUUGUAUAUAAAGUAUGUAUUUGUUGUGAUACUCUGCAAGUGUUUGGAUUCAUAAUGGAUACAAAAUGUAGACAUGUAUUUGUAUCAUAUAUGAAUAGUACUGGAAACUGUUGGCAAAUGGUCAUAAGAACAUUCAAAUUCAGGCAAAUACAAGACCAAGUUUUAAGCUUGAACAAUUAUGAAAUUGUCAUUGUGCUGGUGAACAGUGUCAAUAGUUUUGUAUCAUUUCGAAUUUACAUAGCACUUCUUAAAUUUGUUGUUUAACUUAAAACACCCACCAUUUUGCUAUAGUGUACAUGUUAUGAUUGCGAUUUUUAGAGUACUAUAAAAGAUGUGUUCUGAGAAAUUAUCCGUCCUUUAUCAUAUAUACACCAUCAUGUGCAACUGCUGCAUCAGCCCAUUUUUUUAUGUCGAUUGAUUGUAGGGUUGGUUUUUCUUUUCUUUUUUUCAAAAAUGUGUGAGUUUGGGGGGGGGGGAAAUGGCUGUAUUUAUAUUAAUAUUUCUCAACUUUCUUAGACUUUUAUGUGACCUACAUUGGAAAAAUACCUGUACGUGUAUUACCAACAAUGCUAAUGCUAUGAGUAACAAGAGAACAAAUUACACAUUAACAGCACUGUUUAUAAGCAGUUCAGAAAUGUGCUAUUAUUCAGUGCACCGUCACAAGUAUUUGGCUACAGGUAUCAAAGUUCAUUAAGAAGACAAAAUUGACUUUGUAUUCAACACUAAUGGGGACAGUUUUUCUCCAGUACAUGUAUUUUUAUGCUGUAGGCACUGCAAGUUACAACUUCAAAAUUCUGUAAGAUUCUUCAGAAGAUAUUUCUCGCCUUUCCUGUUAGUAUGAACCAGUAUUCCUAUAUUAUGUAGUCGCCAUUGGAAUGAAACAUCACAACACCAAGAAGGACCAGAAUAUGCUUCCUCCUCAAACUACACCGUACUUAAAUUCAUGUUCAUGGUUUGCAAGUUUAUCCCUCAAGUGAAAAUUAAGAUUUACGACAGUUGCAAUUGAAUCAUGAAAAGUGAAUCACAAGUCGUGCAAUCCCAAGACAAGUGGUCAAGCUAUUCAAUGAACUGUCACCAAGGCAUUCCUUACAUUGGUCAAUGGUCAUCCCUAACCGGUGACCCGACUUGUGGAUUGACUUGAUUUCAACUUGGGUUUACGAUACGAGCAUUGGCUUGGCAAUCUGCCUUGUUAUGGGACUGCGACAUUACAAAAGGCUUAAGAGUCUAGGAUCUGCAUUUGACACUCAGAUUUUAAUGUGUAUCCUCCAACAGUACUAUCAUCCAGAGAAUUAGUUUUAAAAAAACAGGUCCAGGAUUUAGAUAUUUUUUUUUUCCUGACGCAUUAAAAAAAAUGACCAAGAGGUGUGCUUGCUCAUCAAUAUGUAGAUGGUAAAGAAAGUAUUCCACAUUUCAAAAUGGAAUUGUUGAAAGUACAUGUAGAUUGGGAGCAUGUUUUGUUUCAUUUUCAAGUUGCAAACUAGAAUUGAAUAGGAAACUUACUCAAACAGCCUCAGACUGGAACACUCAAGAAAAUAUCAGACCUUGGAGGCUGAAAAUUGUGUGAAGUGGAAUUACCAAAAUGUACAACUCGUGUGUUUUUAGUUGUUUUCAAAUAAUCCACAAAGGGAAACUGACUUAUAAUUUUUAAAAGUUGAAAUAAGAAAGUGACUGAAGGAGGGUUUGAACCUGCGACCUCUGGAUUGCCGUUCCGGUGCUCUACCAACUGAGCUACACAUAUCCAGCCCUAUGUUGGGGGGUUCCCAUUCACAAUAUGGGAAACCGCAAACAUAGGGCUGGAUAGCUCAGUUGGUAGAGUACCGGAACGGCAACCCAGUGGUCGCAAGUUCAAACCCCACUUAGGUCAAUUUCUUUGUUCAACUUUUAAAAAUGCUUUUAGAUGUGUUAAGACAUGAGCAGUAUAUCCGGGUUUGGGAUAGGAAAGGUGUGAAAUGCAUCUUACAUUCCCGGCUACAUGUAGUGAACUCAAAUGAAGAAUGUACAUUAAUUAUGCACACAACAAAAUACUCAAGUAAAUUGUUUUUAUGAAUGCAUAAAAAAAAGUAUUAAACCAGAACUGUAUUUCAGAUACAGUACUUCUUUACAAGUUUGUGGGAGGAACAUGAUGUGAACUCACUGAAUGUUCAUUACUAGAUUUGUCACAACUUGCAGUUAUUUUUCAGAUGUGGGGAUAUUUCUAUCCAAUUUUAAUUUGUGUUAGUGGAACUAACUCACUCCAUAGUAAUGUGAAGAAUGCAAUAGUUUAAUUAGUGUUUAUUUUCCUAGCAAAUGAUUAAAGUAACUUCAUGACACAAGUAAUCAA
rnacentral:misc_RNA from 1 species